rnacentral:rRNA from 1 species
GUGGGGAAUAUUGGACAAUGGGCGCAAGCCUGAUCCAGCAAUGCCGCGUGGGUGAAGAAGGCCUUCGGGUUGUAAACUGCUUUUGUACGGAACGAAACGGUCCUGGUUAAUACCUGGGGCUAAUGACGGUACCGUAAGAAUAAGCACCGGCUAACUACGUGCCAGCAGCCGCGGUAAUACGUAGGGUGCGAGCGUUAAUCGGAAUUACUGGGCGUAAAGCGUGCGCAGGCGGUGCUGUAAGACAGGCGUGAAAUCCCCGGGCUCAACCUGGGAAUUGCGCUUGUGACUGCAGUGCUGGAGUACGGCAGAGGGGGAUGGAAUUCCGCGUGUAGCAGUGAAAUGCGUAGAUAUGCGGAGGAACACCGAUGGCGAAGGCAGUCCCCUGGGCCUGUACUGACGCUCAUGCACGAAAGCGUGGGGAGCAAACAGGAUUAGAUACCCCGGUAGUCC